GACUGGUAACUCGUUGGUAGAGCGGCAGGCUGCAGUAAGAUGCUACAUCCUGUAGGUGAUCGGUUCGAUUCCGAUUCAGUCG